CUACGGGAUGAUGUAGUGAGGAAUAUUGCGCAAUGGGGGAAACCCUGACGCAGCGACGCCGCGUGGAUGAGGAAGGCCUUCUCGCCCUAAAAUCCUGUCAGGUGGGAAUCCUUUCCUCUCUCUUAAUACUCUAUUUCUUUGACGGUACCACCAAAUUACUCACCGGCUAACUCCGUGCCAGCAGCCGCGGUAAUACGGAGGGUGCAAACGUUGUUCGGAAUUACUGGGCGUAAAGCGCGCGUAGGCGGUUUGUUAAGUCAGAUGUGAAAGUCCAUGGCUCAACUAUGGAAGUGCAUUUGAAACUGGCAGACUUGAGUACUGGAGGGGGUGAUGGAAUUCCCGGUGUAGAGGUGAAAUUCGUAGAUAUCGGGAGGAAUACCGGUGGCGAAGGCGAUCACCUGGCCAGAUACUGACGCUGAGGUGCGAAAGCGUGGGGAGCAAACAGGAUUAGAUACCCUCGUAGUC
rnacentral:rRNA from 1 species